rnacentral:rRNA from 1 species
GACGAACGCUGGCGGCGCGCCUAACACAUGCAAGUCGAACGGAGUCAAGAGUAGCUUGCUUUUCUUGACUUAGUGGCGAACGGGUGAGUAACGCGUGAGUAACCUGCCCUGGAGUGGGGGACAACAGUUGGAAACGACUGCUAAUACCGCAUAAGCCCACGGAUCCGCAUGGAUCUGCGGGAAAAGGAUUUAUUCGCUUCAGGAUGGACUCGCGUCCAAUUAGCUAGUUGGUGAGGUAACGGCCCACCAAGGCGACGAUUGGUAGCCGGACUGAGAGGUUGAACGGCCACAUUGGGACUGAGACACGGCCCAGACUCCUACGGGAGGCAGCAGUGGGGGAUAUUGCACAAUGGGGGAAACCCUGAUGCAGCGACGCCGCGUGGAGGAAGAAGGUUUUCGGAUUGUAAACUCCUGUCGUUAGGGACGAUAAUGACGGUACCUAACAAGAAAGCACCGGCUAACUACGUG